GCCAUCAUGGCGCAGUGGUAUUGUAUUUGACUGUAAACGCAGUGCUUGUGGGUUCGAUUCCCACUCAUAGUU
rnacentral:tRNA from 1 species